UUACGGGCAGCAUACAGGCGGAAGCGGACAGCACAGGAAGCCACAUCUCUGGGCUCCAGCUUGGUGAAGGCCACCAAAGGGGCUCCUUGUACGGGUACUGUUAAUACUGCUAAUCUGUUUGACCUUCCUGCAAGAUGCUCCUGUACGAAAACUCUGGGAUCGGGACACUGAGAUCUUGAAUUGCUUAGUCACAUCUUCAUCACUCUCAGAAGAUGUGGAUGGCUCUUCAUCAUCCCCAAAGCUGUUAACUGGAAGCAAACAAGAGUCAUCAGUCUCCCGUGAAGCUCGGUGGUCCAACACAGAGACAGACAAACCAGGAAAAAGAGAAGAGA
ensembl:antisense Gm29587 predicted gene 29587